rnacentral:rRNA from 1 species
UACGAAGGGGGCUAGCGUUGCUCGGAAUCACUGGGCGUAAAGGGUGCGUAGGCGGGUCUUUUAAGUCAGGGGUGAAAUCCUGGAGCUCAACUCCAGAACUGCCUUUGAUACUGAAGAUCUUGAGUUCGGGAGAGGUGAGUGGAACUGCGAGUGUAGAGGUGAAAUUCGUAGAUAUUCGCAAGAACACCAGUGGCGAAGGCGCUCACUGGCCCGAUACUGACGCUGAGGCACGAAAGCCAGGGGAGCAAACGGGGA